UAGCCUAGAGUAAUUAUGGGAUGGGUGACCUUCNGGGAAGUUUUCUCGGAAAGUGUGUGAGUGAGGACAAAGCACACUGGAAAGCCUCGUGUUGAUGUGUGGGGGUAGUCAGCAGUCCCUGUAAGUUGCCGGGGCGUUACAAAUGGUAUCAGAGCCUAGCCUCUCCCAGUACGGUGUGGUUCGAGGAUGAACCAGACGGAAGCUGGUGGGCAUGUG
rnacentral:lncRNA from 1 species